ensembl:snRNA U6 U6 spliceosomal RNA
GUGCUCGCUUCAGCAGCACAUAUACUAAAAUUGGAACGAUACAGAGAAGAUUAGCAUGGCCCCUGUGCAAGAAUAAUAUAUUCCUGACUUGUGUGGGACAGUGGUACU